UACGUAGGGGGCAAGCGUUGUCCGGAUUUAUUGGGCGUAAAGAGCGUGUAGGCGGCCAGGUAGGUCGGUUGUGAAAACUGGAGGCUCAACCUUCAGACGUCGACCGAAACCAUCUGGCUAGAGUCCGGAAGAGGAGAGUGGAAUUCCUGGUGUAGCGGUGGAAUGCGCAGAUAUCAGGAAGAACACCCGUGGCGAAGGCGGCUCUCUGGGACGGUACUGACGCUGAGGUGCGAAAGCGUGGGGAGCAAACAGG
rnacentral:rRNA from 1 species